UGAAGAAAUGGUCCCUUUGACAUCU
rnacentral:piRNA from 1 species